UACGAGAGGCCCAAACGUUAUUCGGAAUUACUGGGCUUAAAGAGUUCGUAGGCGGCAUGGUAAGUAGGGUGUGAAAUCCCUCGGCUCAACCGAGGAAUUGCGCUCUAAACUACCGUGCUAGAGGAAGCUAGAGGUGAGCGGAACUGAUGGUGGAGCGGUGAAAUGCGUUGAUAUCAUCAGGAACACCGGAGGCGAAGGCGGCUCACUGGGGCUUUUCUGACGCUGAGGAACGAAAGCCAGGGUAGCGAACGGG
rnacentral:rRNA from 1 species